GUGGGCCACUAUUUGGGCUAGAGAAAUUGCGAUACCGCCUCGACGCUCGCAUGUGUUCACAUGUCAACGACUCGAAGAGGCUGGGUGUCGGUUAGGGGUUCCUUUGACCGCGGCGGCCUCUUUCUUUCCCUGUUUCUUCCUGCGGUGGAAGUUCUUCUCGGAUAGCUCUAGUGUGCUUCUCCUCUUCGUUCGUGGAUUUGUGGCGGCAAGCGCUGUUCUUGGAAGGCGUGGGUUUGCGGCGGCGCGAGCGGUGCUUCGGCGGCGGUCUUUCCCGACGCGGUUGAUUCUCUAAGUUGGUCGUCUGUAAUCUUGGCAUAUAUAAGGGAUGAGGCGUCGAUGACUCAUAGGAGGUGCUUUGAGUGCUUCGACCCCUCACUUAGAGACGUGCUUCUUCAUUCUUGUUUUUCAUCUUACUACUGAAAGCUAUUGCCUUCUUUCUGGAAUCCGUUUCCUUCCGGAUAUGGAUGGCCAUAUUGUGCUGCUUGAUUCUUGCUUAUUUUAGGAGGAAUUGCGCUUGCUCUUUUUCGGCUAGCUCCUACCUUAUUUCCAGGCACUUAUUUUUACUCUUCUCUGGCCGGCAAGCUUACAUGCCCGCAGAUAGUUUGUUCAGAUUCUCUGGUCAUGACGGUUGAAGGCUCUUUUUGUAGGCUCACAACUAUUGUGGUUCUGUGGGGAGAGCUUGCUAAAGCUUGCUAAGCAGGUUGGUGCGGAUGAACUGAUUUGUAGGAGUAAAAUGGAGCCUCUCAUACUGCUUGCCAUGGGCUGCACUUUCAAGCUGCAGGACUUUUGUGCAACCGGGUUUACUAAUAUCUUUUCUAUCUUCUUUUAACCAAUUCAGUCUCUACUAAUUUUAAGGUAUUGACACAUGGGUUCAUUGUUUGUAAAAAUGGCUCCUGAGUAUGUUUUCGUUAUGUGCAGCCAUGCUUAAUCUGACCCCAAGAUACGGCUUGAGGAUUGUGUUAAAUCAUGUGGAUCCACAUGUUUCUUCCCUUUCGAAACAGUGGUUGUUGUGACUUAGAUUUCUUUAGAUAUUUUCAGCAUGUGUUACUAUGUCUGUCUGUGGUAUUGUUACAUGUUCUGUUUAAUUCUUGAAGGCCAUUGGGCCUGACUACACGGGAACGUCUCACGCAAAAGGGCCGUCGCCUUGCUGCACUUAAUGUUGAAAAUUCUUCUAUGGCCUUUCUCGUAGAUCUCAUUUGAAGGAGGCCAUGGUAUAUGUUGUUUCCUUUGUCCUUUGUCCAUGUUCAUUUUGGGUUGAUUAUUGUUUUGCUGUAUGUGUGCCUCAAACUACAGGAUAGGAUGUUCAGGUGUAGGAUUAAAGUGCAGGCCAUUGCAAGCAAUCAGAAUUGGUAGUUUCGAUCAUGUGAUCGGUGCAGCUGCGGAGCUGUUGAGGAUGGCGAUGCGUCUCGGUGCUCAGGCAAGACAUGUAACAACCGGAGUGUCAUUCCCAGGUGUCUUCAUCUGUUUGAUGAGUUUUUCCUUGUUCGUUGACUAUGGUUUGCAAUUCUCAUAAUUAUUGUUGUGGUUGUGAGGUACACGCUUUGUGUGAAGGCGGGAGAUGGUGAAGCGGUGGUUGGCAUGGUUUUUUUUUGAGAUGUUGCCACGGAUUUAAUCGGCAAGCCCCCUGAUGUACUCAACAAUGAGUUCUUAGCACGUAAUGAUAUUCUCCCUUCGGAUAUCUUGAGGCUUGUUGGAAGGAGCUAUGUUGUGGAUGUGGUGGUGUCUCGCUUCUCUAUUUGCCGAGAAAUCAUUAAUUUCCAAGUCGUCAAGUUUUACA